rnacentral:rRNA from 1 species
UACGUAGGGGGCAAGCGUUGUCCGGAUUUAUUGGGCGUAAAGAGCGUGUAGGCGGCCAGAUAGGUCCGUUGUGAAAACUGGAGGCUUAACCUCCAGCGGUCGAUGGAAACCAUCUGGCUAGAGUCCGGAAGAGGAGAGUGGAAUUCCAGGUGUAGCGGUGAAAUGCGUAGAUAUCUGGAGGAAUACCGGUGGCGAAGGCGGCAUCCUGGACCGACAUUGACGCUGAUGAGCGAAAGCUAGGGGAGCAAACGGG